CAAUCUGGUGGUGAAAAAUAGGAAUGACUAAGUGGAACGCCAGGAAAAAAAUGUGGAUUUGAAAAACAAACCCCUAUGUCUUCAAGAGGAUAACAGUCAAGGUACAAGAACCCUGCUCUAUCUGAUGUGAACUCAUUAUGGCUCCUUGCUGGUCAAGUAUUUGAUAGAAAUCUGUUGUGGAGCUACAGUUCCCCAGGUGACAUCUCAGGUCUGAAGUUUACCUCAUGUGUGACUCAGCAUAAGAGACAGAUUGGUUCAGUGACCCAUGGGGAGGCAUGUCCAACAGUGCAGUGUCACCCCGCCCAAGUCACAAUGGCCUGUGCUGUGAAAUCUGGCAGAAAGGUUAUUACAACAGGUCUGAAGAUGUCUGACUUGGUCAUGGAACACCAGGUAACUGUAUGCACAGUUUUUUUUCCUUCUAUUAAAUGGGUAUAGUUC